UUUUAGCAUUCCUCAACUCACUGGGGUAAAACCAUCUAAGGCUUUGGCUCCAUUGUUAGAUUAAUUGGGAUGCACAACCUACGUUUUGCAACAGAGCAUGCACACUGCGUUAGAGCAACCAGACCAUGAUCGAAGGUUACUUCUGGACUAAUUUACCUUUCAGUUUUUUCCUAUUGCUCUUGCCAUUCCAUUAGGGACAAUUUACCAGUUCAUUACAGCAUGCUGGUAGCUUAGGGCAAUUCCUACCUGUUAAAAAAAGAAGUGUGCUUUUAAAACAACAACAUGGACAGGCAUUCAUUCUUCCCUGAUUCUUCUUCUGACACUGAAACUAACCCAAAACGAUAGGGACUGUGAUGAUUUUAACCUGUUUUCCCAUUGGUGUGGCCACCCCCAGAAUUACCUGCCAUCUUAGCAAGCAGGACAGAAAUAGUUAAGUCCUGAGGCUGUGAGUUAAACACUCUGCCUGAGAGAGAAGCCGUGGAAGAUGUCCCAGCCAGGAGCGCAGAAUCGCUGCCAGGUGUGGAUGGAGAGAGGCUGCCCUCCUGAAGCCACGCUUCACAAUCCAGGUCAUCUGUCUGCUGCCACCUUAGCCACUGGCCUGAUUCUGUGGCGUACACUGCAGGGGAACACCCUGCCAGUCAGCUGACUGCCGUGUCAGAGCUGCUGCUGUCUGCAGUAUCUCAACUGCCAGAGCUCCGGUCCUGCAGUUUCCUGGUCGCAAUGCGACAGAGCCAAGGCAGACAGCGAGGCACAAAGCGCCAGAGUUUUAAAGUGUUCUUUUCCUGCUACCGCUUAGCAUUUCUUACAUGAGGAGUAUUUACCUUUGCGUAGCCAGCAGCAGAGAGGCAGUCUGCAUGCACGCGGCGGCUUCUAACUUGGCAGCGUGAAUUGUCAGCAGAGCAGGUACUGCUCGGAGCCUUGUAGCCAAGCUGCCUGGCGGAGCGCGGCUGGUUUCCCCACCACCGGUGGGGAUGGUUUGGGGGCUCCUUAUGCCAGGCCACCAGACCUGCAGGAAUAAAGCUAGGACGAAGGAGACGCUGCUUGCCCUCUGCUUGCCACGGUGGGUCUGGCCGGGGCCUGUGCGGGCAACUCCACGGAAGUGAUGCUCGCUGUGCGACCCUCCCAGCUCACAGUGAAGGCUGGUCCGGGAGCUGGCGCAGAUCCCCAGUCCUCAGUUAGAACACGGUGUCAAGGCGAAGCCAGGCUCACUGACCUAAGUCACUCCCGGUCCUGUCUGGAUGCGGGGACAGCUGUCGACUAGCAGUGACCCAACCAGCCAUCAAGUGGACAAUGCCUGUGAUGCAGCCUGGGAGCAGGUGGAGCCUGGGAGAAUGCAGUCUAAUUUCGGUCAUCCGAUGGCUUCUUCUGAUUUUCCUAACUAAUCGUGCUCGCUAAGUAUACAGUUGUCUGGAUUAGGCUGCCUUCCGUGCAGGCUUCAUCUGCUCUGGCUGCGAAUCAGGGUGCCAGGCAAGCCUGCUUUAGUCCUGGCUCCUGUCUGCGUGAUGCUCGCUAUGCACUAGGAUGGGUCACACUGACAACAAAGAAGGAAGCAGAAAGCAUCACUUUAUCUUCUCUUGUGGUGUUAGCGGAACCUAACUCUUCUUCGUAGUGCUGCGUGUGUGUGUGUGUGUGUGUGUGUGUGUGUGUGUGUGUGUGUGUUUUAAUUCAUCUGAUCGAACAGCCUCACAGAUAUCAUCAUGGAUGUGGUUUUAAUGAUUUGGGAAAAAAAGACAGCCUGUGGAGACAGCGAUUCGAGACUGCAGCACAUUUAGGUUAUUGCCAAUUCGAGCUACUUUGGUUUGUGAAGCUGAGCCCUCAGGGACGAGCUGGGUAACUGAGAAGGAGAUGGUAGAUAAAGAAAUAAAAAUGACAAGCGUAAUGGAGGCUCUGUGAAGGGACUGUCAGAGCAUCGGUUCAUGGAUGGCAAUUUCGCCAGGCUGAGACUGAAUAAUUCAUAGAGUGAAAUUACCCUGCUUUCACCUUCCCAGCCAAACCGGCAUGAUCCGAAUCUCUAAUAAAUUUUCAAGAUAAAGUAAAAUGCCAAUUUGAAACUGAAGAGCUUUUAAAGCCAGAUGCUGCAUCCCUGCAUCUUUCGGUAUCUUUCACAAUUAUCCUGUGAGAACUGCACUUCAUCACGAAGCAUCAUUACCAGGGAGAAUGACUGUGAUUAUAAUAGCAACAAUAGGAUACCAUCAAAUGAUCUCUAAUUUACCUAAUUUGCUAAGACUGGCUGUGUGAUGUUAGCGCCCAUUGUCUGUCACCACGCCUAGCCCCCCCUGGAUCUUUCUCGCACCCGAACAACAGUGCGGCAGCGUGUGUGAUACCUUCCGUCUGAAAGCCCAGCUAAGAACGUUCUCCUAGGUUACUGUGUCUCUUUCGUUUGGUCUGCAUUUUUUGCAUUCUUGUGUGUUUGAUUUUUCCCCAAAGACUGUACCCCAAAUGCCUGUUUGGGGAAAUGGUGAGCCUGUCGUGGGUUUGGGGUUGAUUCGUUUAUAACGAGAGCGAAUCCUCUUGCUAAUUUAUACACCCUCUUUAUUGUAAUGUAUACAAGUAUGUGUUUACCGGAAGGGAGGGAGAUUCUGUUCUGAGAGGGUAGCUUUAAAAUGCAGCUAAGGUGCAAGUGGUGUCCUUGUGUCUUUUUUGAAACCCCUGGUGUGAUGUGUUACAAACUUCUCUGAUGGCAACGUCACAUCCAGUAAUAGCUCUCCUGCAGCCUUUAUUAAAAGCGUGUAUGUUUGUUCGACUGAGUGAUUAAACGAUGCUUUUUGGCUGUUUGUGUCUGAUUGCUCUCUAGCAGAAGUCGAACCUAAACAGAACUUCUCUGACAGGCUGCACACUUCAUCUCAGGGCAGUUCUGCUGUCCUGAGAAAGAGGCAUGGUUCAUAGAGCCUCGCUGGGAACAGACUGUAAGCAUUUAAUGGGCACGGUGACUUCUGGAAUUACCUUCAGUAGCAUGAAGACAGUCUGUGGGUUCCCACUAGUCAAGUGAUUGAAGUUUGAAUAUCUCAGGUGGGAUUUCUGAGAGAUGAAGAUCCUUGGGGAGAAGAUGCUUUUGUCAGAGGAGGACCCGCAGGGGACUCUGAGUCCUGGCCAUCUGGACUUUCCUUGGUCCCAGGGGCAAGUCAACAGGCCCUUGUUUUCAAAAGUGUGUGCUCAGGGAGGUUUUGUACCCUGGAAAGACCUUUACCCCCCCCCCCCCUUUCCU